rnacentral:rRNA from 1 species
GACGAACGCUGGCGGCGUGCUUAACACAUGCAAGUCGAACGGAAAGGCCCUGCUUUUGUGGGGUGCUCGAGUGGCGAACGGGUGAGUAACACGUGAGUAACCUGCCCUUGACUUUGGGAUAACUUCAGGAAACUGGGGCUAAUACCGGAUAGGAGCUCCUGCUGCAUGGUGGGGGUUGGAAAGUUUCGGCGGUUGGGGAUGGACUCGCGGCUUAUCAGCUUGUUGGUGGGGUAGUGGCUUACCAAGGCUUUGACGGGUAGCCGGCCUGAGAGGGUGACCGGCCACAUUGGGACUGGGAUACGGCCCAGACUCCUACGGGAGGCAGCAGUGGGGAAUAUUGCACAAUGGGCGGAAGCCUGAUGCAGCAACGCCGCGUGCGGGAUGACGGCCUUCGGGUUGUAACCCGCUUUCGCCUGUGACGAGGCGUGAGUGACGGUAAUGGGUAAAGAAGCACCGGCUAACUACGG